rnacentral:ncRNA from 1 species
CAAGCAGCGUAAAAGGCGUCUGCUAGUAGGACGACCGCAAGGUCAGCCUGCGACACCGUCAAAUUGCGGGAAGUUCCUAAAGCUGAUGCUACCAAGCAUUCGUCGAAAGACGGGUGUGGCCGGGGUAAUGACCUAGGGUACGGUAACAACGCAUCAGAUGCAACAAUGGAUAAUCCGCAGCCAAGCUCUAAGUCCAGCGACUCUCCUCCCGGGGAGUCUUGGAUAUGGGUGCAGUUCAACGACUAAAUGGUGGUGGGUUCUGGUAGGAACGCGGUCUGCGUACCCUCCCAGGGCUUAAGAUAUAGUCUGGCCCCUUGCGAAAGUGAGGG